AGAGUUGAUCCUGGCUCAGAAUGAACGCUGGCGGCGUGCUUAACACAUGCAAGUCGAACGAGAACUCUUUGAGCUUGCUCGAAGAAAGUAAAGUGGCGCCCGGGUGAGUAACGCGUGGGUAAUCUGUCUUCAAAUUCGGGAUAACCCGCCGAAAGGCGUGCUAAUACCGGAUAACAUCAUGUACGCUGAGGUGUAUGUGAUCAAAGGUAGCCUCUACAAGUAAGCGACUGUUUGGAGAUGAGCCUGCGUACCAUUAGUUAGUUGGCGGGGUAACAGCCCACCAAGGCGACGAUGGUUAGCUGGUCUGAGAGGAUGAUCAGCCACACUGGAACUGACACACGGUCCAGACUCCUACGGGAGGCAGCAGUGAGGAAUUUUGCGCAAUGGGCGGAAGCCUGACGCAGCAACGCCGCGUGAGUGAAGAAGGCCUUCGGGUCGUAAAGCUCUGUCAAAUGGGAAGAACCUGUGCAUGGUAAACAAGUGUGCACACUGACGGUACCAUUGAAGGAAGCACCGGCUAACUCCGUGCCAGCAGCCGCGGUAAUACGGAGGGUGCGAGCGUUAUUCGGAAUUAUUGGGCGUAAAGAGCACGUAGGCGGCAGUGCAAGUCAGGUGUGAAAACCCGGGGCUUAACCUCGGAAGCGCAUUUGAAACUGUGCUGCUUGAGUAUGGGAGAGGGAAGUGGAAUUCCUGGUGUAGCGGUGAAAUGCGUAGAUAUCAGGAGGAACACCGGUGGCGAAGGCGACUUCCUGGACCAAUACUGACGCUGAGGUGCGAAGGCGUGGGUAGCAAACAGGAUUAGAUACCCUGGUAGUCCACGCAGUAAACGGUGAUCACUAGGUGUAGCGGGUAUUGACCCCUGCUGUGCCGCAGUUAACGCAUUAAGUGAUCCGNCUGGGGAGUAC
rnacentral:rRNA from 1 species